AGGGAAAGGCUUAGUGGCGGACGGGUGAGUAACGCGUGGGUAACCUGGCCCAUACAGGGGGAUAACACUUAGAAAUAGGUGCUAAUACCGCAUAACAACAGAAAGCGCAUGCUUUUUGUUUGAAAACCAAGGUGGUAUGGGAUGGACCCGCGUCUGAUUAGCUGGUUGGCGGGGUAAAGGCCCACCAAGGCGACGAUCAGUAGCCGGCCUGAGAGGGUGGACGGCCACAUUGGGACUGAGACACGGCCCAAACUCCUACGGGAGGCAGCAG
rnacentral:rRNA from 1 species